GGGGAAUUUUGGACAAUGGGCGCAAGCCUGAUCCAGCAAUGCCGCGUGAGUGAAGAAGGCCUACGGGUUGUAAAGCUCUUUUGUCAGGGAAGAAACGGCCACGGCUAAUAUCCGCGGCUAAUGACGGUACCUGAAGAAUAAGCACCGGCUAACUACGUGCCAGCAGCCGCGGUAAUACGUAGGGUGCAAGCGUUAAUCGGAAUUACUGGGCGUAAAGCGUGCGCAGGCGGUUUUGUAAGUCUGACGUGAAAUCCCCGGGCUCAACCUGGGAAUUGCGUUGGAGACUGCAAGGCUGGAGUCUGGCAGAGGGGGGUAGAAUUCCACGUGUAGCAGUGAAAUGCGUAGAGAUGUGGAGGAACACCGAUGGCGAAGGCAGCCCCCUGGGCCAAGACUGACGCUCAUGCACGAAAGCGUGGGGAGCAAACAGGAUUAGAUACCCUGGUAGUCCACGCCCUAAACGAUGUCUACUAGUUGUCGGGUCUUAAUUGACUUGGUAACGCAGCU
rnacentral:rRNA from 1 species